GUGUCAGCAGCCGCGGUAAGACGAACCGUGCGAACGUUGUUCGGAUUCACUGGGCUUAAAGGGCGCGUAGGCGGGCUCGCUAGUCCGGGGUGAAAUCCUCCAGCUCAACUGGAGAAUUGCCUGGGAUACUGCGGGCCUCGAGGGAGGUAGGGGCGAUCGGAACUUCCGGUGGAGCGGUGAAAUGCGUAGAGAUCGGAAGGAACGCCGGUGGCGAAAGCGGAUCGCUGGGCCUCUUCUGACGCUGAUGCGCGAAAGCCAGGGGAGCGAACGGGAUUAGAUACCCCGGUAGUCCUGGCCCUAAACGAUGGGCACUAGGUAGAGGGCUGAUAUGGGUCCUCUGCCGAAGCAAAAGUGGUAAGUGCCCCGCCUGGGGAGUAUGGUCGCAAGGCUGAA
rnacentral:rRNA from 1 species